rnacentral:rRNA from 1 species
GCUCUGUGGAUCAGUGGCGAACGGGUGAGUAACACGUGAGCAAUCUGCCCCUGACUCUGGGAUAAGCGCUGGAAACGGCGUCUAAUACCGGAUACGAGCUGCGAAGGCAUCUUCAGCAGCUGGAAAGAAUUUCGGUCAGGGAUGAGCUCGCGGCCUAUCAGCUUGUUGGUGAGGUAACGGCUCACCAAGGCGUCGACGGGUAGCCGGCCUGAGAGGGUGACCGGCCACACUGGGACUGAGACACGGCCCAGACUCCUACGGGAGGCAGCAGUGGGGAAUAUUGCACAAUGGGCGAAAGCCUGAUGCAGCAACGCCGCGUGAGGGACGACGGCCUUCGGGUUGUAAACCUCUUUUAGCAGGAAAGAAGCGAAAGUGACGGUACCUGCAGAAAAAGCGCCGGCUAACUACGUGCCAGCAGCCGCGGUAAUACGUAGGGCGCAAGCGUUAUCCGGAAUUAUUGGGCGUAAAGAGCUCGUAGGCGGUCUGUCGCGUCUGCUGUGAAAACCCGAGGCUCAACCUCGGGCCUGCAGUGGGUACGGGCAGACUAGAGUGCGGUAGGGGAGAUUGGAAUUCCUGGUGUAGCGGUGGAAUGCGCAGAUAUCAGGAGGAACACCGAUGGCGAAGGCAGAUCUCUGGGCCGUAACUGACGCUGAGGAGCGAAAGGGUGGGGAGCAAACAGGCUUAGAUACCCUGGUAGUCCACCCCGUAAACGUUGGGAACUAGUUGUGGGGGUCCAUUCCACGGAUUCCGUGACGCAGCUAACGCAUUAAGUUCCCCCGCCUGGGGGAGUACGGCCGCAAGGCUAAAACUCAAAGGAAUUGACGGGGACCCGCACAAGCGGCGGAGCAUGCGGAUUAAUUCGAUGCAACGCGAAGAACCUUACCAAGGCUUGACAUAUACGAGAACGGGCCAGAAAUGGUCAACUCUUUGGACACUCGUAAACAGGUGGUGCAUGGUUGUCGUCAGCUCGUGUCGUGAGAUGUUGGGUUAAGUCCCGCAACGAGCGCAACCCUCGUUCUAUGUUGCCAGCACGUAAUGGUGGGAACUCAUGGGAUACUGCCGGGGUCAACUCGGAGGAAGGUGGGGAUGACGUCAAAUCAUCAUGCCCCUUAUGUCUUGGGCUUCACGCAUGCUACAAUGGCCGGUACAAAGGGCUGCAAUACCGCGAGGUGGAGCGAAUCCCAAAAAGCCGGUCCCAGUUCGGAUUGAGGUCUGCAACUCGACCUCAUGAAGUCGGAGUCGCUAGUAAUCGCAGAUCAGCAACGCUGCGGUGAAUACGUUCCCGGGUCUUGUACACACCGCCCGUCAAGUCAUGAAAGUCGGUAACACCUGAAGCCGGUGGUCCCAACCCUUG